rnacentral:rRNA from 1 species
AGAGUUUGAUCCUGGCUCAGAAUGAACGUUGGCGGCGUGGAUUAGGCAUGCAAGUCGAGCGCGAUAUUUUUGAAAGAUACUUCGGUUGAUUUCAUAAGUGGAAAGCGGCGAAAGGGAGAGUAACGAGUAGAUACGUACCCAGGGGUCCGAGAUAGCCAUGCGAAAGCGUGAGUAAUACCGGAUAACGUCUCCGGACCAAAUAUUUAUAGCCCUUGGAGCGGUCUGCUUACUAUUAGCUUGUUGGUGGGGUAAAGGCCUACCAAGGCUAAGAUGGUUAGCGGGUGUGAGAGCAUGGCCCGUCUCACUGGGACUGAGACACUGCCCAGACACCUACGGGUGGCUGCAGUCGAGAAUCUUCCGCAAUGGACGAAAGUCUGACGGAGCGACGCCGCGUGAUGGACGAAGGCCCGCGGGUUGUAAACAUCUGUCGUAGGGGAGGAAAUUUUGACCGAUCCUAGGAGGAAGCACAGGCUAAGUUCGUGCCAGCAGCCGCGGUAAUACGAACUGUGCAAACGUUAUUCGGAAUCACUGGGCUUAAAGGGUGCGUAGGCGGGUUAGUAGGUCAGAUGUGAAAUCCCACGGCUCAACCGUGGAACUGCGUUUGAAACCACAAGUCUUGAGGGGAUCAGAGGAGAGCGGAACUGAUGGUGGAGCGGUGAAAUGCGUUGAUAUUAUCAGGAACACCGGUGGCGAAGGCGGCUCUCUGGGAUCUUUCUGACGCUGAGGCACGAAAGCUAGGGGAGCGAACGGGAUUAGAUACCCCGGUAGUCCUAGCUGUAAACGAUCUGUACUAGUCCGUGGGGACCCCCACAUCUUCUCGGACGUAGCGAAAGUGUUAAGUACAGCGCCUGGGGAGUAUGGUCGC